UUUAAUUUAAUAUGGAACUGGGAAAACGGGCAAAUUUUGAUAAUAAAAUUCAUGGCACUUGCUUUAUAACCUGAUCAAAUGAUUGAAAUAACAUUCAAUUGGCUUACUCGGAUCCUACCAAAUGAAAUCAUGAAUGUACUAAUGCCUUUUAUACGGUAUUUUCGUCGACAAUGGAUUAGAAAUACCAGGCCAGAACAAUUAAGUGUAUUCAGUUUAAUAAACCGAACAAAUAAUUAUUCCGAAGCGUAUAAUCGGGUACUGUGCUUACGACUUGGUGCUCAUCCGACAAUCUGGGAUUUUACAGAGCGUUUAACUAAUUUACAAUGUAUGUGUCACAUUGAAUACAUGUCUUAAAGAAUGGUAAACGAUGAUAGACGUCGUAGUCAAAGUCACGUCCACGCUCACAAUGAGAAACUACAAAAAUUGUGGUGGUUAUUGCAAGAAGGCUUUAUUGAUAACGCACAGUUUUUAGCUUAUGCAAGUCCUCUUUUGCGUGCUUUCAGUGAAGUAGACAAUAAUCCAGACAGUUUUAACAUUUUUCGUGAAUAUGAUCAACACCAGAUUUUCUAGGAGUUAGAAAUUGAU